GACGAACGCUGGCGGCGUGCUUAACACAUGCCAGUCGUACGGUAAGGCCCUUUCGGGGGUACGCGCGUGGGUAACGAGCGAGUAACACGUGAGUAACCUGCCCACCACUUAGGGUGGAAUAACGGCAACUAGCUCUAAUUAAUGCUAUAUGCUACUGCCUCCUGGAUGGGGUUGGUUAGCUCCGUCCGGUGGGUGUGGACGGACGGGCGGCCUAUCUGUUUGUUGGGGGGGUGGCUGGCUAGCAAGGCAUUGGUGGGUAGCCGGCCUGAGAGGGUGACCAGGCACAUUGGGACUUGGAUACGGCCCAGACUCCCACGGGAGGCAGCAGGGGGGAAUAUUUCACAAUGGGCGCAAGCCCGAUGCAGCAACGCCGCGUGCGGGAUUACGGCCUUCGGGUUGGAAACCGCUUUCAGCAGGGACGAAGCUGUUUGUGACGGUACCUGCAGAAGAAGCACCGGCUAACUACGUG
rnacentral:rRNA from 1 species